UUGCUAGUACACAUAAUGAACAAAUAUAAAGAUAUUAAAGUGGGGAAAAAAGGGACAUGGAACAUCACUAGUCAGAUAGGAUUUUUUUGUACGCUGAAAGGUCAUACAAUACAUUCCAAAACGAUUCUCGAAAGUGCAGUGCCGAGAACGACGCUACAGUUGCGUUGCAUCACAAUAAUAGAAGCAUCGGGUCCUCGGUGUAGGCGAACAGCAUCAUGGGUAAUUAAUGCGGCGUACUCACUGAACUCUCUCACCGGACAACGCAUACUUUGCAACAACAAGCAGCAAAAGAACAGGUUUGACAGAAGUUACCUUUCCAGAAUCCAUGGCAGCGUCAGUAAGGCAACGGUGUCUCCUUGUUAUUGUUUGUCGGCUUCGUCUUCUUGGUUGAAGUUGAGAAGAAUAAUGGCAAAAGGUCCUCGUCGCCGCUGUUUUAAACGUCAAGCUGCUUAUGACUGUGGCCGUCUUCCAGGAAGCCUUUCCCAGACUGUUAAAAUCUCACGCAGAGCCCUCCGUCGGACAUUGGGGCCCUUGCAAAUGACCCCCCCCCCCCUCACUAGGAUGAAGAUAGGUGCAUUCUGGGAGAAGCUGAAAGUCACGAUACAGGCCAGAAAAAAAAUGCCAUUCAUGUAAAUGUUGCCGUUAACCUUUCCCAUCACCCUCCUGCCAUUGUUACAGCAGUCGGGGACAGAAAAACUCAUUGCAAUGUGGUCAUUUUGCAAAGCUGCUCCACUAUCCAUUGCCGAGCCAUGGGCAAGAGAAUAACAUUAUUACACAAACUGCAAAGCCUAAGCUGUCAAAUGCUGACGGCCUCAUGUCUGUCGGAAUCUGAAAAAGGAAGGUCUCAGUAGAGGUUCCAUUGUGCAAUGGAAAAAAUUAAAUGGCUAAAAGAAACUGAGCUUCUCUCUAUACAACAUUUUGUGGUCAGCACAAGCAGAAGAGGUGAGGAAAGAGUUAAAAUCUUGCACACAUUGUUCAUGACAAAGGGAGAUCAUCUCAACCCACCUCCCCCUCUCUCCUCAUCAUUAUGUCCAUUUGGAAACAUGUCACUCCCGCCCGCUACUUCGACAAAAAACAGACUGUCACACGGCAUUAGCUGUUCGGCCGAGCUCGCCGGACCGUGCGGGCCGAGCCGAGUGAGGUAAGCUUGGAAUGAAGCGACCGGGGGAGGACAUGCAAACCUGCUGUCCUCUCAUUAAACCCUCUGUUGUCCAAUUAUGACUCUCACUGCACUCAGUCAUGAAUCUCAUGAUGAGUUUAUCACCAUCACUAAUAUAUUGCUGGGAAAUGUUUUUUUUUCUUUUGGUUGUUUGUUUGUUUUUUUAAAUAAAAGUCACUUCACACUUGAAAACAUGAUGAUUUCAGACAUUAAAACGGAGUAUUUGCCAUCUAAACAUGAAACUUUGAUGUAAUGUGGGGAAGAUUAGCUACAAACUUGCAAAUGUGCAAAAUUCACGUGACAGGCUGAAAAGUACAAAUUGAAUAAGUUCAUGUUGCUAAUAUUAGCAUCAACAUUCUAGGUCCUUGUUUACAAAAAACGUAUAAAGAUAUUUAUGUUAGGUUAAUUGAAGACUUUCAAUUGACUUUAAUGUUUACACCUACAUUACAUUCAUGAAAAAGUUUCAACACAUUGAGUUGUCUUUGGUCUUUAUGAAAAUGUAUGCCAGAGUACUUGAAAUGUGCAAAACAUGUACUUCAGAUUCGUUAAAGAUACAAAUAUCUUUUUUUUUUAUAGAAACUGUUUAAGUUAAUGUAAAAUUUAGUAAUAUAAAACUUACAUUUCGUAAGCCUUGUAGCAUAUUUGCCCAAGUCAUCUUUAAAAUGUUUUCAGAAAAUGAGAAAAAAAAACAGAGCAAAUUCAACAAACAAGAAGAGUCCAGUUGUCUCGAUUCAACCUUUGCCGAUAACUAUGACCUGCAAAACUGAGAAUUUACAUAGACAUCAAGAAAAAAAUAAAAUAACAUUUUUCGCAAGCACAUUGGUAUUUUUCAAUUGAUAUUGUGAAAAUUAACAAUGACUUUGGCAAUUAUGAUAUUUGGCUAACAAUUUCCAUUAAAUACUUUCAAUUGUCUUUUGAUAUUUAUGAAGACUUGUGUGUUUGGGUACUUAAAAACUUUCAAUUCUCUGUUUAUGAAAACUUGUAAGUUAGGUUAAUUGAUGAUCCAAUUGUCUUUGGCAUGAAGACCCUUGGUUGGGUUCACAGAAAUUUCUAAGUUGUGUGUGUUUACAAACAAUCUAUCCUAUGUUUGAGUACAAAAACAUGUUAGGGCUUUGAUUUUUUUUCCCUUCUUUUUUUACUUGUACGUAUGCAGUAUUUUACAAGUCUUACAAUUACUGAAGAAGUAAGAAAAUACAUUAGGGCUUUGAUUUUGUCGUGUAUGGUAAAUACAGUAUUUUAUAUACACAAAGUAUUAAGUUCAUUUAAGCCUAAGUUGUCUGUUAGUAAAAAUGCACAUUUUCAAGAGCAUCACAGGUCCCCCUGCAAUUUGCAUACCGAGCAAACAGUUCUGUAGAUGACGCAGUCAAAAAUGGGACUGCACUUCAUUCUAGAACACCUACGCGAGGAUCCUGUUUGUGGACUUCACAUUUGCGUUCAACACCAUCAUCCCCAAACUCUUCUCCUCCCAGCUUCUCCAGCUCAGCGUCUUGCAUGCCAUCUGCCAGUGGAUUUACAGCUUCCUGACGGGCAGGACACAGCAGGUGAGGCUGGGGGACACCACCUCAUCCACACGCACCACCAGCACCGGGCGCCCCAAGUGUCCUCUCUCCGCUGCUCUUCUCUCUCUACACGAACGACUGCACCUCAACAAACCUGGCGGUCAAACCUCUGAAGUCUACAGGAAGUGGAGCGGCUGGAGCUUCGGUGCGGCCGACACAACCUGGAGCUGAACACGCUGACUGACUGUAGAGAAGACUGUCGAGAUGAUCGUGGACUUCUGGAAACAUCCUUCACCACAGCUGCCCUUCACGCUGUCCAACUGCCCCGUGUCAACUGUCGAGACCUUCAAGUUCCUGGGAAUUAGUCUCUCAGGACCUGCAGCGGGAGACAAACAUCAACUCCAUCCUCGAAAAGGCCCAGCAGAGGAUGUACUUCCUGCGGCGGUCCCUUGAGGACUUGCAUGCAGGAACUAAGAGAAGAGCAUGCAAAAUCCUCUUGCAUCCUCCACAUCCUGGUCACCUCCUCCUCCAGCUCCUUCCCUCAGGUAGGCGCUAUCGAACAAUGCAAACUAAAACCAGCAGACAUUCCAACAGCUUCUUCCCUCUUGCCAUUAAAUUGCUAGAGGCUAACAGACUGUGUUUUCAUAUCUUAGCGUAUUUACUGUCAAAAUAGCUGUCUAUUGUCGUACUAGUGCAGCUCCAACUCCUGGAGACAAAUUCCUUGUGUUUUUUCCCCAUACUGUACUUGCCAAUA